AAAGUACUCCCUCCGUCCCAAAAUUCUUGUCUUAGAUUUUUCUAGAUACGGAUGUAUCAAGUCACAUUUUAGUAUUAGAUACAUCCGUAUCUAGACAAAUCUAAGACAAGAAAUUUGGGACAGAGGGAGUAGUUG
rfam:Triticum aestivum genome assembly, contig: Triticum_aestivum_CS42_TGACv1_scaffold_004918_1AL